rnacentral:rRNA from 1 species
UACGUAGGGGGCGAGCGUUGUCCGGAUUUAUUGGGCGUAAAGAGCUCGUAGGCGGUUUGGUAAGUCGGGUGUGAAAUCUCCACGCUCAACGUGGAGGGGCCACUCGAUACUGCCAUGACUCGAGUCCGGUAGAGGAGUGUGGAAUUCCCGGUGUAGCGGUGAAAUGCGCAGAUAUCGGGAGGAACACCCGUAGCGAAAGAGGCACUCUGGGCCGGAACUGACGCUGAGGAGCGAAAGCGUGGGGAGCAAACAGG